rnacentral:rRNA from 1 species
UACCAGCUCUCCGAGUGGUAGGGAUGAUUAUUGGGCUUAAAGCGUCCGUAGCCGGCUUAGCAAGUUUCCUGUUAAACCCAGCGACUCAAUCGUUGGAUCGCGGGAAAUACUACUAGGCUAGGAGGCGGGAGAGGUCAACGGUACUUCUGGGGUAGGGGUGAAAUCCUAUAAUCCCGGGAGGACCACCAGUGGCGAAGGCUGUUGACUAGAACGCGCUCGACGGUGAGGGACGAAAGCUGGGGUAGCAAACCGGGAUUAGAUACCCGGGUAGUCCCAGCUGUAAACGAUGCGAGCUAGGUGUUGGGAUGGCUACGGGCCAUUUCAGUGCCGCAGGGAAGCCAUUAAGCUCGCCGCCUGGGGAGUACGGCCGCAAGGCUGAAGCUUAAAGGAAUUGGCGGGGGAGCACCACAAGGCGUGAAGCUUGCGGUUC